UAGUAGUAUAAUAUGUUAGUAUAAUGUGGUAGUAUAUUGUGUUAGUAGUAUAAUGUGGUAGUAGUAUAAUGUGUUAGUAGUAUAAUGUGGUAGUAGUAUAAUGUGGUAGUGGUAUAAUGUGUUAGUAUAAUGUGGUAGUAGUAUAAUGGGUUAGUAGUAUAAUGUGUUAGUAUAAUGUGUUAGUAGUAUAAUGUGUUAGUAUAAUUAUAAUGUGUUAGUAUAAUGUGGUAGUAGUAUAAUGUGUUAGUAGUAUAAUGUGUUAGUAGUAUAGUGUGUCAGGGGUAUAAUGUGUUAGUAGUAUAAUGUGUUAGUAGUAUAAUGUGUUAGCAUAAUGUGUUAGUAUAAUGUGUUAGUAGUAUAAUGUGUUAGUAGUAUAAUGUGUUAGUAGUAUAAUGUGUUAGUAUAAUGUUGUGUCAGGGGUAUAAUGUGUCAGGGGUAUAAUGUGUUAGUAGUAUAAUGGGUUAGUGUAGUGUGUCAGGGGUAUUGUCACGUCCUGGCCAGUAUAAGGGAUAAUUGGUAUUGUAGUUUGGUCAGGACGUGGCAGAGGGUAUUCGUUUUAUGGUAUUCGGCGUGGUGUGUUUGUUGUAGGGGAUUUGAUUUGUGUAUUCCGGAG
rnacentral:lncRNA from 1 species